GAGCUGAGGCGGCCCGAGGUGCCGGGGCUGGGGCUGCGCGGUGUCGGGAGAUGUCGGCCGGCUGUGUUUGGAGGAGAUGCCAGCUCCCUCGAAGGCAGAGACCCUGCAGCAAGACCGUGACAAAUUAUGUUUGGGGCAGUCACGAACUCUGUGAAACCAAGGAAGUGUCGGAUUUUGCAGCUGGGAGGGGUAACAGCGGUGUUUGGACACACACCAGUCAACAAGAGGCUGAAGAGAGUCAUGGGCAGUGAAAAUUGCUGUCUCAUAAUAUAUGGUUAAAUCUGUAACUACCUAACAAACUGUUUUUAAAAUCUUUUACCCUAUGACAUAACAAAGAUAACGGGAAUUAUGUUAAUUUCCUGGUUUUAUGUCACUUUGGGGCAAAUAAAAGAGUAGCUUUUUUUCUUCCAGCCUGUC